rnacentral:tRNA from 6 species
GGCGGAUGUAGCCAAGUGGGUCAAGGCAGU